rnacentral:rRNA from 1 species
CCCUUAGAUGUUCUGGGCCGCACGCGCGCUACACUGAUGCAUUCAACGAGCACCCGCUGGGCCGAGAGGUCCGGCUAAUCUUUGAACGUGCAUCGUGCUGGGGAUAGAUGAUUGCAAUUAUUCAUCUUCAACGAGGAAUUCCUAGUAAACGCAAGUCAUCAGCUUGCAUUGAUUACGUCCCUGCCCUUUGUACACACCGCCCGUCGCACCUACCGAUUGAAUGGUCCGGUGAAAUUCUCGGACGCGGACUUGCGAUGUUAAUUCGGAGCUUGACUGUGAAAGUUAAUUAAACCUUACCAUUUAGAGGAAGGUGAGGUCGUAACA